UUCGGCAUUCAACAAUAUAGAAUCCCUUUAACAAAUUAUGGCCUCUCCACAUGCUGGAAUAUGGAGACCUUGAUUGUUAUGUUGGGGAAGAAACUUGAUGAUGAAAAUGCUGACCCCAGAAUGUGAACAGGAUUCAUCACUCGGUGUUUGAUGUGAAGUCCCUUCAGCUCUCCAAGCCCCAGUGUCCUCGUGAAUCAAGCGGAGAUCAUCUUAAAGCCCUCAACAGGGACAAGUGUGAAGGAACCAGUAAGAGAAUGCUGAGAUCAGAAGCCUGGAUCCUGCCCAGCCCCAUCCCCGAUGGUCUCAUGCCAACCGUCAGGACCCAACGUUAUCCAGAGACUGGGCUCUAACCACAGCCUGGACUCCUCUAACCCUGGGCCCAGCCACAACCACUCUAGGACUUCUGCUUUGGAAAACAGAAAGCUCAAGCCCCCGAAAAUAAAAGUCCUGGAAAUGUUCCCAGUUAGCAGACACUAGGUCUCCCCUAGUGACACAGAGAGAAGAGAAACAAACAGGCACUAGGAGGGAUUGAGGUGGUCCCUCUGUCCCCCACACACUCCUUCACCCACUGGGCAGCUGCAGCAAUGCUCUCUGUCUUGGUGAUGUCCAUGGUCACCGUCUCCAGCCUGUCUGAAGUCUGGCCCCUCAGCUGCUUGGUCCCCUUCUCUGUCCUACAUGCAGCUCCCGCAAGCCUGUGCAUUCAGUUGUCUGGCCAGUAGCUUCCUGAAGCGUGAGUCACAGCUCAUGAUGAACACGUACUUGUCUCUCAGGUGACUCACCACCUGCCUCUCCCAGUACCAGUGCAGAAGGUAGUAUAGGCCCAGGAGGACCGCCAGGUAGAGCCACAUGGCUUUGCAGAGGACAGACCCAGACGGGCUGGGGUGAAGUGAGAGUCUGGCCUCUGUUCAGACAGGAGGACUUAAGAACACAGAGGGCUGAGGUAGGCAGGGAAGCCCUCAGGCAUUUUGGCAGAAAGUCCUCACUUUCCUCUCUGAUCACUGUCUUUCUGCACCAUUUUUUAUCCUGGCUUCAUCUCUCUGCUCUUUCAACUGCCUUUGCAGGUGUUCAUGCAUGCAACUGCAAACCCCAAGCUCUGCCCAGUGAGUAGUUAUCACUACUCAGCAAUGCUUCCCUAGUCCACCAAUGCCUCUCUGCCUUGCUGUGCCUACUCAGGUGUCCACACAGGGGCCCACACACACACACCAUGAAACACACCACUCUGAUCUACAAACAAGGGUCAGAACUUGUCUCUACAUAUCUUGUGAUAUGGUUUGGAUAUUUGUGCCACCAAAAUUGCAUGUUGAAAUGCGUUCCCCAAUAUUGGAGGCAGGAGCUGGUGGGAGGUGUUGGGUCAUGGUAGUGGAUCCCUCAUGGCUUGGUGCUGUCCUGGAGACACUGGAAUGAGUUGUGAUGGGAUCUGGUUGUUUAAAAGUGUGGCACCUCCCCAGCUCUCUCUUUCUUGCUCCCACUUGCCAUGUGACAAAUCAGCUCCCCCUUUGACUUCUGCAGUGAUUAUAAGCUUCCUGAUGCCUCACCAGGAGCCAAGCAGAUGCAUGCUUGUACAGCCUGCAGAACCAUGAGCCAAUUAAACCUGUUUUCUUUAUAAAUUACCCAGUCUCAGGUAUUUAUUAUAGCAACACAAGAACGGCCUAACACACAUUGUAUACCAACACUCCUGGACCAUGGUCUCCCAGAAAACAGACUUU
rnacentral:lncRNA from 1 species